rnacentral:rRNA from 1 species
AUGAACGCUAGCUACAGGCUUAACACAUGCAAGUCGAGGGGCAGCAUGGUCUUAGCUUGCUAAGGCCGAUGGCGACCGGCGCACGGGUGAGUAACACGUAUCCAACCUGCCGUCUACUCUUGGACAGCCUUCUGAAAGGAAGAUUAAUACAAGAUGGCAUCAUGAGUCCGCAUGUUCACAUGAUUAAAGGUAUUCCGGUAGACGAUGGGGAUGCGUUCCAUUAGAUAGUAGGCGGGGUAACGGCCCACCUAGUCUUCGAUGGAUAGGGGUUCUGAGAGGAAGGUCCCCCACAUUGGAACUGAGACACGGUCCAAACUCCUACGGGAGGCAGCAGUGAGGAAUAUUGGUCAAUGGGCGAGAGCCUGAACCAGCCAAGUAGCGUGAAGGAUGACUGCCCUAUGGGUUGUAAACUUCUUUUAUAAAGGAAUAAAGUCGGGUAUGGAUACCCGUUUGCAUGUACUUUAUGAAUAAGGAUCGGCUAACUCCGUGCCAGCAGCCGCGGUAAUACGGAGGAUCCGAGCGUUAUCCGGAUUUAUUGGGUUUAAAGGGAGCGUAGAUGGAUAUUUAAGUCAGUUGUGAAAGUUUGCGGCUCAACCGUAAAAUUGCAGUUGAUACUGGAUAUCUUGAUUGCAGUUGAGGCAGGCGGAAUUCGUGGUGUAGCGGUGAAAUGCUUAGAUAUCACGAAGAACUCCGAUUGCGAAGGCAGCCUGCUAAGCUGCAACUGACAUUGAGGCUCGAAAGUGUGGGUAUCAAACAGGAUUAGAUACCCUGGUAGUCCACACGGUAAACGAUGAAUACUCGCUGUUUGCGAUAUACUGCAAGCGGCCAAGCGAAAGCGUUAAGUAUUCCACCUGGGGAGUACGCCGGCAACGGUGAAACUCAAAGGAAUUGACGGGGGCCCGCACAAGCGGAGGAACAUGUGGUUUAAUUCGAUGAUACGCGAGGAACCUUACCCGGGCUUAAAUUGCAGAUGAAUUACGGUGAAAGCCGUAAGCCGCAAGGCAUCUGUGAAGGUGCUGCAUGGUUGUCGUCAGCUCGUGCCGUGAGGUGUCGGCUUAAGUGCCAUAACGAGCGCAACCCUUGUUGUCAGUUACUAACAGGUUCCGCUGAGGACUCUGACAAGACUGCCAUCGUAAGAUGUGAGGAAGGUGGGGAUGACGUCAAAUCAGCACGGCCCUUACGUCCGGGGCUACACACGUGUUACAAUGGGGGGUACAGAGGGCCGCUACCACGCGAGUGGAUGCCAAUCCCCAAAACCUCUCUCAGUUCGGACUGGAGUCUGCAACCCGACUCCACGAAGCUGGAUUCGCUAGUAAUCGCGCAUCAGCCACGGCGCGGUGAAUACGUUCCCGGGCCUUGUACACACCGCCCGUCAAGCCAUGGGAGCCGGGGGUACCUGAAGUGCGUAACCGCGAGGAGCGCCCUAGGGUAAAACUGGUGACUGGGGCU